rfam:Picea glauca, whole genome shotgun sequence.
GUAAAGGUGUCUUUAGACACCACCCUUUCUCUUCAAAUUUUUAUUU